rnacentral:rRNA from 1 species
CAGCAGCCGCGGUAAUACGUAGGUGGCAAGCGUUGUCCGGAAUUAUUGGGCGUAAAGGGCUCGCAGGCGGUUUCUUAAGUCUGAUGUGAAAGCCCCCGGCUCAACCGGGGAGGGUCAUUGGAAACUGGGAAACUUGAGUGCAGAAGAGGAGAGUGGAAUUCCACGUGUAGCGGUGAAACGCGUAGAGAUGUGGAGGAACACCAGUGGCGAAGGCGACUCUCUGGUCUGUAACUGACGCUGAGGAGCGAAAGCGUGGGGAGCGAACAGGAUUAGAUACCCCCGUAGUCCCUGUCUCUUAUAC